GGAAGAAUAGGUAGAAGAGGCAGGAUGUCUUGGGGCAGAACGUGGCACCAAUGGAAGUUGGUGUAGUGCUUCCUGGAGACCACCUAGUGUUAGUGCCUGAGGAAACAUUUGUCUGAGUAGUGGUACGCCUGACAGGCUACUUAAGUUGUCGCAUGACAGCUCUCCAGUAAUCUGCAGGGAGCAACAGUUACAGUAUGUCUGGCAGUUGAUACCACUCUGUUUAUGCUCAGUGCUUACUGAGGUAAAAUUCAAAACUCCCACUGGUCCAAAUCCUGUGGUCCUUACUACUGGCCAGAUCUCUUCCCCCCAGAUCUGUGUGUGGAGAUGACCCUUGGCAAGUGAGAUCUCCCUGUUUUCCAGGUAGAAGGGGGUGUCCAACCCCUCUUCAUAUAUCUUGUCCGAGAUCUGCAGGCAUGGAGAGAACAUGGUUGAGGGGGAUGUAGGUUGUUUGCUUACCAUCCCUGUGGGAAAAUUUUCCCAAGAGAGUUAAUGCAGCUGAGCUACCUUGACAAGAUGGAAAUGUUGGGAACCUGGAGUCUGCCAAUUAGUUAAAGUAAUAAAUCAGGGCUCUUAUGCAAAUAAGAUCUAUUGGUUGUUGAGUGCUGCUGGAAAAUACCAACCAGGCAUACAUUUCUAAGUCUUUUAGUUACUAAAUAUGAGUUUCUCCUCCUUGAUUUAAGACUAAGAUAAAUACCCAUGAAUUUUUAAAAAUGACUUUUGUGAAGCCCUGGAGACUGAUCCUUUAUUUAGCCACUGAACAGAUACAACACUGCAAGAUUCUUCAUACUGCCCUGCCCAUGCACUUCAACCCUGAGUGGAGACACCAUUUCUAAGGCUUUUAAAUGAGUUCCCUCAGCAAGCAGGGCAUGAUGGAAGGGAAAGAAUCCUUAUGACGACAGCCUCUAAACACCAGCACUCUCUUCCUGGCGUGGAGGAUGAGGGUCACCAAAGGAGAAAGUUUUAAGUUAUGUUGCAGACCUUGAAUCCACUCUGGUAACCCUCGCCACUGGCUUCAGGGAGACUACGGAUUUGACUCUGCACCCACUGAAGUCCAUGAACGCAGGAUUAAGCUAUAUUUCAUAUGAGUGAGAGUUGCAGGAUCUGGUCCCAUGUUUUCAGGGAGCAAGGAGUCCCACAGGUCAGGAGAACGAUAUAAAAUAAACUGAAAAGUGCCUGCCAAAAUUGAUUGUGACAUUUUAGUAACCUAGUAUUCUUUGUACAUAGAUCUAUUCCACUUUCAAACAGAAGUGUCAUUAUAUGAUGAAAAUAGUAGCUCAUAUUCUGAACUAAGGAGGCUGCACCAGUUCCAUUUACAUGAGACUAUUUUUACCUUAUAGGAAGUGGCUGCAACUCAAAAAAAUCCUGACUGCUUGCCCUCUUGGAAUUAAGUUAUAGGCAAACCAAUACCCGUCCCCGCCCCCAAAAAAACUGUAUAACAAUUGAUCUAGCUAGCUAACUCAUCAGUGUUAAGAGUCUUUAUUAAAAGUAGAAAUCAGUACACCCCAGACUGUCUACCCCAAUGUUUACCAAACUUUGGGGUGUGCCACCAUAGGGGGUGUGGUGGGGCCUGGGCCAGCCCUCUCGAAGCAAAAGUUUAGGCACUACUGGUCAACCGUAAUUUACUUAAAAUAUUAAUUAAAAGCUUUAAUCUAACCAGUUUCCUCAGCGAUGCUAUGUUUCCAUGGAUUAAUAAGAAGUAUUUACAGAGUGCUUUUUAUUCAUAGUUCUCAAAGCAUUUUAAAAAGGUGGGUAAGAGGGGCAGAGAGGUUAGUUGACUUCACCAAGGUCAUAUAGCCACUUAAGGGCAGAAUUACCAUCUCCUAGGUCCCAGUCCGAUGCUCAAUCCACUGGAGCAUACUGCUUCUACUGCUGUAAUUCAGAAGUUCACCUACUCAGGAUUUUCAUAUUCUCUCACUCACUUACAGUCAGUGUUCAUAUAUACUGAGUGAGGCAUCAUUAGCUAAUGACUGAAGAAAGAUAGGAUAACUCAUGAACGUGUUUAGUCUCAUGAAUUUGUCUUAAUAAGGCAUCAAAUCAGUCACAUAAUUAUUUAUAAAACAGGCUGCUUGCUCUGAUGUUUUAUUUGUUUAAUGCUGGGGUUUUAUUUCAUGCCUUUCACACGUGCAGGCAAAUACGGCUUAUGGUUUGUUUUUCUGUUAACCAAAGUAGUUAAUAUAUACCUUGUAAGUAUUCCAUUCCUGUAGAGUCUACCUGAUGGAUAGUGACAAUAUGCUGAUGUGGAUCAAAAAAAAGUGAGGAACAAUCUAACCACGAGUAAGUGCUAUAUAGUUCAAAAGUAGAGAUCCCUGCUUCUAGCUGUAAAGUCACAACUAGGCUGUAGGAAUGACCUAAGCUUGUUUUAGGAAUUAGAGCUAUAAUUUUCUUGCUCACCAAGCAGAUUCCUCUUAGGCUAUCACACCCUGGCCUUCCACAGAACAUGAAGCCACUUGCCCUUUAUGUCCAUAAGUGGAAGUUGGCCCGCGUCAGUUGGGCUGAAUUGAACAUGUUCUGGGAAAACAAUGACAUCCACAAAGAGAGAGAGGGGGAUAAAUUUGAAGUAAAGCCCCCUAAGACUCUGCCAACAGGAGUUUUCUUGCCAAAGAUCAUAAGAAUGACAACGUGCUCUACCAAGCUACUUCUGUUCAUUACGUGAUUUUCCCUAAGAAGCAGGUGGCCAGUCUGUUUUCUGUGCUCCAAAUACUGGCUGUGUCCCAUGAACUCAGAGCACAAGUGACGGUAUGAAUCUCACGAAGCAGCAACAUGCUGCCACUCAUGAAAGGAAAGCAAAUAGCGAACAAGUGACCAGUCAGUCAUUCACGUCACAGGACAUUGCUGCUCUCUGAAUUUUCAUCUUGAUUUAAUUGUGCAUAGGGUUGUCCUCUGGUAUCACUUCCUAAAAUAGCAUUUCAUCCACACAGAUUAUUUUUCUGCACUGUAAAAACACUUGUUAUGCCACACCUAUUUACUGAUAAGAUUUCCCUAGCACCAGUUGCAAAAAAAAGCCUCUCUUUAGACAUCUCUCGGGCUUGUAGCCCCUUUUAUUUUUAUAUUUUCUUUGGAAGCAGAAUCAGGAGGUGUAAUUUGGGGUAAAAACGGCAAGAAUGUAGUACUGAUGCCACAGAAGAGGAGUGAAGAUGGGGUUCAUAACAUAGAAGAAUGGUACUGUUAGUCCAUCAAAACUAAUUUCCGAUAGGUAUCUAUGUUUGUAAGAAACAUAGGAAUGUCAGGAACAGUCUAGGUAUACUCGGUCCUGCCUCAGUGUGAGGCGAUAGACUAAUUAUUCUCACAAGAUCCCUUCCAGCCCAAACUU